AAGGGGAGCACUGGAUCCUGGGCUGUGUCCACCGGCAUCUUGAGCUCCGGGGCCUAUGCUGCUGGAAUUGCACUCUCGGGGCGGCGCAGCCCCCU
rnacentral:pre_miRNA from 1 species